rnacentral:rRNA from 1 species
GAUGAACGCUGGCGGCGUGCCUAAUACAUGCAAGUCGAGCGAACAGACGAGGAGCUUGCUCCUCUGACGUUAGCGGCGGACGGGUGAGUAACACGUGGAUAACCUACCUAUAAGACUGGGAUAACUUCGGGAAACCGGAGCUAAUACCGGAUAAUAUAUUGAACCGCAUGGUUCAAUAGUGAAAGACGGUUUUGCUGUCACUUAUAGAUGGAUCCGCGCCGCAUUAGCUAGUUGGUAAGGUAACGGCUUACCAAGGCAACGAUGCGUAGCCGACCUGAGAGGGUGAUCGGCCACACUGGAACUGAGACACGGUCCAGACUCCUACGGGAGGCAGCAGUAGGGAAUCUUCCGCAAUGGGCGAAAGCCUGACGGAGCAACGCCGCGUGAGUGAUGAAGGUCUUCGGAUCGUAAAACUCUGUUAUUAGGGAAGAACAAAUGUGUAAGUAACUAUGCGCGCCUUGACGGUACCUAAUCAGAAAGCCACGGCUAACUACGUG